rnacentral:tRNA from 1 species
AAGGUCUUGGCUUAAUUAAAGUGUCUGCUUUGCAUGCAGGAGAUGUAGGAUAGUGGCCUGCAGGUCUUA